rnacentral:rRNA from 1 species
AGAGUUUGAUCCUGGCUCAGGACGAACGCUGGCGGCGCGCCUAACACAUGCAAGCCGAACGGAGCUUUUUAGAGCUUGCUUUGAAAAGCUUAGUGGCGAACGGGUGAGUAACGCGUGAGUAGCCUGCCCUGGAGUGGGGGACAACAGUUGGAAACGACUGCUAAUACCGCAUAAGCCCACGGCCCGGCAUCGGGCUGAGGGAAAAGGAUUUAUUCGCUUCAGGAUGGACUCGCGUCCAAUUAGCUAGUUGGUGAGGUAACGGCCCACCAAGGCGACGAUUGGUAGCCGGACUGAGAGGUUGAACGGCCACAUUGGGACUGAGACACGGCCCAGACUCCUACGGGAGGCAGCAGUGGGGGAUAUUGCACAAUGGGGGAAACCCUGAUGCAGCGACGCCGCGUGGAGGAAGAAGGUUUUCGGAUUGUAAACUCCUGUCGUUAGGGACGAUAAUGACGGCACCUAACAAGAAAGCACCGGCUAACUACGUGCCAGCAGCCGCGGUAAAACGUAGGGUGCAAGCGUUGUCCGGAAUUACUGGGUGUAAAGGGAGCGCAGGCGGACCGGCAAGUUGGAAGUGAAAUCCAUGGGCUCAACCCGUGAAUUGCUUUCAAAACUGCUGGCCUUGAGUAGUGCAGAGGUAGGUGGAAUUCCCGGUGUAGCGGUGGAAUGCGUAGAUAUCGGGAGGAACACCAGUGGCGAAGGCGACCUACUGGGCACCAACUGACGCUGAGGCUCGAAAGCAUGGGUAGCAAACAGGAUUAGAUACCCUGGUAGUCCAUGCUGUAAACGAUGAUUACUAGAUGUUGGAGGAUUGACCCCUUCAGUGCCGCAGUUAACACAAUAAGUAAUCCACCUGGGGAGUACGACCGCAAGGUUGAAACUCAAAGGAAUUGACGGGGGCCCGCACAAGCAGUGGAGUAUGUGGUUUAAUUCGAAGCAACGCGAAGAACCUUACCAGGUCUUGACAUCCGAUGCAUAGUGCAGAGAUGCAUGAAGCCCUUCGGGGCAUCGAGACAGGUGGUGCAUGGUUGUCGUCAGCUCGUGUCGUGAGAUGUUGGGUUAAGUCCCGCAACGAGUGCAACCCCUAUCUUCAGUAGCCAGCGGUUCGGCCGGGCACUCUGGAGAGACUGCCAGGGAUAACCUGGAGGAAGGUGGGGAUGACGUCAAAUCAUCAUGCCCCUUAUGGGCAGGGCUACACACGUGCUACAAUGGCGUAAACAAAGGGAGGCAGAGCCGCGAGGCCGAGCAAAUCCCAAAAAUAACGUCUCAGUUCGGAUUGUAGUCUGCAACUCGACUACAUGAAGCUGGAAUCGCUAGUAAUCGCGAAUCAGAAUGUCGCGGUGAAUACGUUCCCGGGUCUUGUACACACCGCCCGUCACACCAUGGGAGUCAGUAACGCCCGAAGUCAGUGACCCAACCGCAAGGAGGGAGCUGCCGAAGGCGGGACCGAUAACUGGGGUGAAGUCGUAACAAGGUAACC